AAUGAACGUUGGCGGCGUGGAUUAGGCUUGCAAGUCGAGCGAGAAGAGUUUGGUAGCUUGCUAUGAAACUCGGAAAGCGGCGAAAGGGAGAGUAACGCGUAGUUAUGUACCCAGGGGUGCGGAAUAGCCACGGGAAACUGUGGGUAAUGCCGAAUAACAUCCCCGGAUCAAAGGUGUGAUUCCGCCCUUGGAGCAGACUGCGUCCUACUAGCGAGUUGACGGGGUAAUGGCCCACCAAGGCAACAAUGGGUAGCGGGUGUGAGAGCAUGACCCGUCUCACUGGGACUGAGACACUGCCCAGACACCUACGGGUGGCUGCAGUCGAGAAUCUUCGGCAAUGGACGAAAGCCUGACCGAGCGACGCCGCGUGCGGGAUGAAGGCCCUCGGGUUGUAAACCGCUGUCGUAGGGGAGGAAGGCUCCGUGAAGAACGGGGUUUGACCUAUCCUAGGAGGAAGUACGGGCUAAGUUCGUGCCAGCCGCCGCGGUAA
rnacentral:rRNA from 1 species